UUAAUUUGUAUUACAGGAUGUUGUACAACCAGCCGAGUGCAUUGGUAGGUCGGACAGAUGUUGCUUCUGUGACUUCAUGGUCAGCUCCAAUUAUUUGGGAGGGAACCUUUGACUCCACACUGAUCGACUCUAUCUACAAACAACAGAAUCUCACUAUAGCAACCACUGUCUUCGCUUUGGGAAAAUACACGCGUUUUGUCAAAGAUUUUCUGGAGUCAGCAGAGCAGCAUUACUUUGUUGGAUUUCGAGUGCAUUACUACUUGUUUAC